rnacentral:misc_RNA from 1 species
GUAUUAAUUUUUUUGUUGUUUAUAACCAUUCUAAUACUUUUAAUUGGAGUAUAGGUUUAAAACAUAGAUCAGAAAAAAUACAAGAAAGAGCUGGGCAUAAAAACCACAGCAAUCCCUCUGACCAAGAUGUUACCAUCUUGAAAAGUAUUCAGAUCUACAAAAAGUGCACAGGUGGGUUUAUAAAAUCGGAAGAAGCGUGCAAGAUAGCAGCAGCCUAAACCAAGUUUAUUCAAUAAUGAUCCUUCCGCAGGUUCACCUACGGAAA